rnacentral:rRNA from 1 species
AUUGAACGCUGGCGGCAGGCCUAACACAUGCAAGUCGAACGGUAACAGGAAACAGCUUGCUGUUUCGCUGACGAGUGGCGGACGGGUGGGUAAUGUCUGGGAAACUGCCUGAUGGAGGGGGAUAACUACUGGAAACGGUAGCUAAUACCGCAUAACGUCGCAAGACCAAAGAGGGGGACCUUCGGGCCUCUUGCCAUCGGAUUUGCCCAGAUGGGAUUAGCUAGUAGGUGGGGUAACGGCUCACCUAGGCGACGAUCCCUAGCUGGUCUGAGAGGAUGACCAGCCACACUGGAACUGAGACACGGUCCAGACUCCUACGGGAGGCAGCAGUGGGGAAUAUUGCACAAUGGGCGCAAGCCUGAUGCAGCCAUGCCGCGUGUAUGAAGAAGGCCUUCGGGUUGUAAAGUACUUUCAGCGGGGAGGAAGGGAGUAAAGUUAAUACCUUUGCUCAUUGACGUUACCCGCAGAAGAAGCACCGGCUAACUCCGUGCCAGCAGCCGCGGUAA